ACAGAGGGUGCAAACGUUGUUCGGAAUUCUGGGCGUAAAGCGCGUGUAGGCGGCCGAGUAAGUCGGGGUGUGAAAAGCCCCAGGGGCUCAACCUUGGGAAGUGCACUCGAAACUGCACGGCUGGAGUCUCGGAGAGGGAAGUGGAAUUCUGGGUGUAGAGGUGAAAUUCGUAGAUAUCCAGAGGAACACCAGUGGCGAAGGCGACUUCCUGGACGAGUACUGACGCUGAGACGCGAAAAGCGUGGGGGAGCAAAACAGGAUUAGAUACCCGGGGUAGUCC
rnacentral:rRNA from 1 species